UACGUAGGGUGCGAGCGUUAAUCGGAAUUACUGGGCGUAAAGCGUGCGUAGGCGGUUCGCUGUGUCCGAUGUGAAAGCCCCGGGCUUAACCUGGGAAUGGCAUUGGAAACUGGCGGGCUUGAGUGCGGCAGAGGGGGGUGGAAUUCCGCGUGUAGCAGUGAAAUGCGUAGAGAUGUGGAGGAACACCGAUGGCGAAGGCAGCCCCCUGGGCCGAUACUGACGCUCAGGCACGAAAGCGUGGGGAGCAAACAGG
rnacentral:rRNA from 1 species